rnacentral:lncRNA from 10 species
AACAGUGGGGCCUGCAAAUUCAUUUUCUCUCAUCCCCACUUUAGGAACAUCCCAUCUGGGCUGCCUGGGCUCCAGUCGUUGUCUCAGGGUGGCUGGAAGGGCUCAGAGGACACAGCCUGCUGCUAAGGUGGUCUCUGGACACUGUGCCUUACGGCUCCUAUCCAGAGACACCACAGCCUCAACUAAGAAUUUGGAGCCCAGCUUCAAAGGGGAGAGCAUAGCCUGGUUUUGCUGUUGCUGCUGAGUCGUCCGCUGGGUGCUGGGCAAGUCCCAGCCCUUCUUGCCACCCCUGCCUCUGUCAUGAGCCCUUUGCAGGUAGGACUGGCUUGCAAUUCAGGGAGAGAUGAUUGGAAAGUAGAAUCCAGAAUCCCGGUCUCAAUGCCCCAUUAUAUAAGGGCAGAAUCAAUACCCAGAGAGGGGCAAUGACUUGCCCAGGGUGACCCAGCUAAGGAAUGGUGGAGUUGGGCUUCAAGCCCCAUGGUCACAAAGUCCUAUUUGGGACUCAGGAUCUUAGAGGGCAAUGGUCCUGAAAUGUGAACCCCAAAUCCAUCUCCCACUGCAUAAAACCUCUGACUUGGGUGAAUCUGGGCUCCUGGAGAAGCCUGAGGGAGAAUGAGCUCCCCAUUUCCAUGGCUUUCUGUAGCCCAGAGAAGACGCAGAGGCAGAGCCUGGGUAAAGCUGGGAAGGUCAAGGAGAUGAGACCCUCCUGUGGGACAGGGUGAUGCCAGCCUCCUGCCUGAGUCCUUUGGUGGAGGGAUAACAGUAGGAACAGCACCAUCUCACCGAGCUGCCCUGGCUACCAGGACCUUUGUACCCAUCACUUCAGAGUACAAGACACUCCUGUGAGCCUGGCACAGCACUCACCUGUAUCACACAUGUGGAAACAGCUUCACCAGGUCCGGCCCUGUCUGUGGUCACACAGCUGGUCAGUGGCAGAGCCAAGGUCAGAAGCAGGUGUGGUGGGGUUGUUGUUUCGUUUUGGGUUUUUUUGAAAUGGAGUCUCGCUCUGUUACCCAG